AGAGUUUGAUCCUGGCUCAGAUUGAACGCUGGCGGUAUGCUUAACACAUGCAAGUCGAACGGAAACGAUACUAGCUUGCUAGUAGGCGUCGAGUGGCGGACGGGUGAGUAACGCGUAGGAAUCUACCAGAUAGUGGGGGAUAGCCCGGAGAAAUUCGGAUUAAUACCGCAUAAUCUCUACGGAGUAAAGGAGGCCUCUAUUUAUAUGCUUUCGCUAUCUGAUGAGCCUGCGUAAGAUUAGCUAGUUGGUGAGGUAAAAGCUCACCAAGGCGACGAUCUUUAGCUGGUCUGAGAGGAUGAUCAGCCACACUGGGACUGAGACACGGCCCAGACUCCUACGGGAGGCAGCAGUGGGGAAUAUUGGACAAUGGGGGCAACCCUGAUCCAGCAAUACCGCGUGUGUGAAGAAGGCCUGAGGGUUGUAAAGCACUUUCAAUUGUGAAGAAAAGUUAAUAGUUAAUAACUAUUAGCCUUGACGUUAACUUUAGAAGAAG
rnacentral:rRNA from 1 species